CUUUGUCGUAGCACGCCUGGUUGCAGCCCGGCUGCAGGGUGUUGCACAUGAACAUGGUCUGCUCGUCCUCGUACACCGUCUCGCCCACGAUGGCCACGAUCAGGAUGCGGGAAAAUCACCACCACCGUCAGCAGGAUCCUUCCGAUCAUGGUGGAGUGCUGCUGCCACGGCCGCCUCCAGCAGCCGCUCCAGGAUCGUCCAUUCGCCCAUCGCGAUGGGAGCGGGGGGUGCCGGACCGGGACCCCCCC
rnacentral:lncRNA from 1 species